rfam:Pseudoramibacter alactolyticus ATCC 23263 genomic scaffold SCAFFOLD1, whole genome shotgun sequence.
GUCUCAAUUUGAGCGCCAGAACUCAUGCCGGAUCCGCACUGAAUGAGUUGACGAGGUCAGGGAGUAUCGAAAGUUCGGCGGAUGCCCUGGAAUAUCGAUUUGAAAAAGGGGGAGUGAUCCCCUUCACAAAGAAAUCGAAAUAAUCAUAU